GGCAAUAUGGCCGAGCGGUCUAAGGCGCCAGAAUCAGGCUUUCUGCUUAAUCUGGUCCGAAAGGGCGUGGGUUCGAAUCCCACUGUUGUCA